UACGAAGGGGGCUAGCGUUGUUCGGAAUUACUGGGCGUAAAGCGCACGUAGGCGGGCGAUUAAGUCAGGGGUGAAAUCCCGGAGCUCAACUCCGGAACUGCCUUUGAUACUGGUCGUCUAGAGAUCGGAAGAGGUGAGUGGAAUUCCCAGUGUAGAGGUGAAAUUCGUAGAUAUUGGGAAGAACACCAGUGGCGAAGGCGGCUCACUGGUCCGGUACUGACGCUGAGGUGCGAAAGCGUGGGGAGCAAACAGG
rnacentral:rRNA from 1 species